UAAUCUUGAAGUGGAUCAAAUCUAAAGUAAUUAUGAAUAUUACGUACGUUGCAGCGGUCCUUGCAAGAGACGAACAGAACAGAUCUUAUCUGACUGGAGCCAUUCACCAUGGUAAAGGACAUCAGAAAGUUGGUUAGAAGGUUAUCUUUGUGGGUGAUUGCAAAACCCAUUUGGUGACAUCAAUAACUUUAUAAACAAAAAAUGGAAAGGCAGGCAUCAGGCCCGGCCCUGAGGUAAAGUCCGUAAAGCUUGGACUUUAGGCGCUAAACGAUAUAUACAUUUUAGGGGCAAUAAUUGAAAGCAAUCCUCUUAGGUCCAGUGGCUUAAAUUAUUUUCCUCUUACCUCACGUAUGCAUGUUCGAAACCUGUUUUUUUCAUUCUCCCCACCCAUUUUUAUAAUAGCUGAGAAUCUAAUGAUUUUGAUUCCUUUGUUUAUAACCUUAGUUUCCUUGUUCAUUUUUUCCCAUUUUUUAUAAUAAUUGAAAGAAUCUAAUGAUUUUGAUUCCUUAAUUUAUAACCUUAGUUUCUUUGUUUAUAUUGUAUUAAAUAAUAUAAUCAAACCAACUAAUUUCUUUUGGCAAAAACAAAAGCGAUGCCAUUUAUGAGACUAUUCAUCUUUCCUCUUAUUUUUUCUUCUUUAAAGCAUUGUUCUGUUUUCCAACUCUAAGUACAAUAAAGUUAUUCUAGUUAUUAAUUAUGCAUGCUGCUGGCAACAAUAUAAGAAAUGAGCUAAAUGCAUAUAAAACGAAUUGCCGUAACCGGCAACCAAUAGUAUUUUCAAACAACAUGUUAAAUGCAUAUGAACGUUUUAGAAUAAUUAUUUUAUCAAUACGAUAAAUCAAUAUAUUAGGGUUCUUGAUGAAUUUUUGUUUGGUUUAAAAGCUAAGUUCUAAAAAAAAUUAUUGUUGUUAAGGGGCAUGAAUUUUUAAUCCGCUUUAGGCGCCACAAUACUCCGGACCGGCACUGGCAGGCAUAUGGACCAGAUCUUGUACCGCAUAAUAUGUGAAAGAUAUUGUCACUAUAUCCUCGGAGAAGUCUGCAUUCUCGUAUACGUAUGUUUGUAGAGUAGUGAAAAAUGAAGUUGAUAGAUUAGCCAAGUUAGCUAGAAAAUUUAGAUAGAAAAGAGUUAUUUUAUUCAGAAAAGGAGUAACAUUCUAAAACCUCUACAAAACCAGUCACAUUUGCGUACAUUAUUAUUACUCUUUUUAUUACUAUUUAACUUCCUUUUACAGUAGAGGUUCACUGGGUAAGCUCUUAAGCAUCAGCCUUCCUUGGCCCUCCGUAGCUAGCUGGGCCACUGCUGUGCGUCAAAGUGGUCUCGAUCGUGUUGAACUUAACCCUUCUUGCUUCUUCGAGUGAGAUUUGGUACCCAUUGGAUAUGACCUCUAAUGGUAAACCUCUCAAGACCGAGGUUCGUCCAGCAAGUGUGUUGAUCUGUGCGUUUGCGUUUGUCUUGAACUCGAUCCACCGGAACUGUUCGCUUGUUGCGCGUUUCACCACGGAGAAACCUUGUGGUAUGGAAAGUAGCUGUCCUUGAGAGACUUGUCCGUCGAACACUCUGUCACCGUUGUCGUUAACCACCUGCACAUGGGCUUCCCCGUCUGUCACGUAGAGAACCGCGUUUGCGUUUGCGUUCCACUGUGGAAGCACCAUCGCGUUCUACAUCCAAUAAAUGUUUCAAUAGUCAUGUUUAUAGCGAACCGGAAACAGAAACCAAACCGAGAUGGUUAUAGAAUUAAUACGGCACGUGCCAAACCGAUAAGCAUAAUAAUGCUAACCAAACUUUCAAAUGUUAAUUCCUAUUAAAAUGCAUAUGUACUUACUUGACGGAUAGAUCCACGGAGGGCUGAGAGACGAAGGAAGCGAAGGAUGGGGAGAUCAUAGCUGUUCAGAGUGCUGAUGUAACCGAGCUGUGGCUUGUAUACGUCAGCAUUAGAUGGGUCAUCGAGGUUAUCGGUGCACCUCGCGCUGCAUAUGGUCUCUUCUAAACCGUUAACUUCCUCCUGCGGUCUCUGACUCCUCAAAGGCGGCCUAAUGACACUGAAUGGGCCUUGGACUCGGAUAAUGUUUCCACGGUUGUCUUGCUGGUUCUGAAGUUGUUGCGCUGUCCUAACAUCGAUCUUGAAAGCUUUAGCAAGAACCUCUGGUGUGAAGCCAUUAAGGAUGUUCUUUUGUGGCUGUUGCUCGCGUCCUUCUAUCCAUACUUGGCCUUGUGGGUUGUUUCCGGCUAAGUAAAAUGGCUACAGAUAAAACAGAAAACCAUAUUUUUGAUAUUCUGUAAUUAUAAAAGAAGUUAUAUGAUGAGAAAAAGACAAAAAUAGCACUAAAUCAAGUUUAUGUUCUCAAACUAGCACCCAAGGUCAAAAGUCACAAAAAUAGCACUUAAUGUUUUAUCAAAAGUCACAAACUUAGGGUUUAGAGUUAAAGGCUGGGGUUUAGGAUUUAGGGUUUAGGGUUUAGGGUUUGGGGUUUAGGGUUUAAGGUUUAGAUUUUAGGGUUUAUGGUUUAGGGUUUAGAGUUGAGAAAUGAGGUUUUGGGGAUAAGAUUUCAAAUUUUGAAAAAUAAAAAAAUUAAAAUUUUCAAAGGAUAAACUUAGAAAAGUAUCAUUUUGGUCAUUUUAGUCAUUUUAGUUUUUGAUUGCUAUUUUUGUGAUAUAAAUUUAGAAAUAUGCUAUUUUGGAGAUUUGCCCUUGAUUGCUUUUGAGGUUUUUGUUUAUUUAUAUACCCUUGGGUUGCGGUCGAGCUGAUUCUGGUGGCUGGCUAAAUCGAGGACGGAAACGAUGACAAGUGGUUGGUUUCCGUCGUUGUAGAACCAUUGGGCUACACCGGGAUGUGUAGCGAUGGUGUCCCCAGUCCUUAUGUGCUCCACUUUCUGGUGCAUAUCACGGAAGCCCUGGCCUUGACUCUGUUGUCCUUGCUGACCUUGUUGGCCCUGUUGUCCCUGGCCUUGACCCUGGUGGCCUUGGCCCUGACCUUGUUGUCCCUGGCCCUGACCUUCUCCGAAGGGGCUACCACCGCCUGGUUGAAACACUGAUGAGUCCUGGAAUGUCUCGGCGCAUCCAGGGACCACUCUCCCCAUAAGACCUUCUCCUAUAAUGUAACAAACCAAAAAAAAAAAAUUUAGUGCGCAGUUCUGUGAACAUCGACCAUAUAUUUAGGUUAUAAAUUAAACAAAAAAAUAUUAUAAUGUAUUUGAUCAAAACCUUAGCACGUGUAUAGUGAUAUACUUACUACAACACUUUUCUCAAAAGACUGAACCUUAAAGAUCACGAAUUUGAAUCUCGAUACUCAUAUAGUAUCAAAAUCAGAUUCACGUACCUUUAGCCACGAAGGAGAGCUUCGCGGUGCUAAAGAAAGAGGGCAAGUAGAGACCCUUAGACUCGAUGAUGUAACGUACAAAGGAGACACCAGAGCAACGUAGCUGAGGAGCGUGGUGGUCCCACACCUCGAUGCGACCAGCCUCAGCCUUAAGUACGUGUGACGGCUCCAGUGCAUUGAGCUGGUCUAGCUGACACUCGUUUGGAAACUGUUGAGCUGUAGAGCCAUGGAGAAAGAUCAAAAGUGCUAAGGAAAAAGAGAGAAGAGAUGAGAGCCGAGCCAUUUUCUCUUUAC
rnacentral:lncRNA from 1 species